CGAUUUUCAACAUACUGUAGAUUCAACGAGAUUAGUUCGAGUCGAUUGGAACAGUGGAGAAUUGGUGAUGCGGACUGCCAAGUGGAUAAAGAAUAGA